rnacentral:rRNA from 1 species
UACGUAGGUGGCAAGCGUUAUCCGGAUUCACUGGGCGUAAAGAGCACGCAGGCGGUCCUUCAAGUCGGAUGUUAAAUCUCCCGGCUUAACUGGGAGUUGUCAUUCGAUACUGCUGGACUUGAGGACAGUAGAGGGAGGUGGAAUUCCCGGUGUAGUGGUGAAAUGCGUAGAUAUCGGGAGGAACACCAGUGGCGAAAGCGGCCUCCUAGGCUGUUUCUGACGCUGAGGUGCGAAAGCGUGGGGAG